rnacentral:piRNA from 1 species
UAAUCCUGGAAGCCAGCUUUGCCAAACU